rnacentral:rRNA from 1 species
GCAAGUCGAGCGCGCCCUUCGGGGUGAGCGGCGGACGGGUGAGUAACGCGUGGGAACGUGCCCUUUGCUGCGGAAUAGCCACUGGAAACGGUGAGUAAUACCGCAUGAGCCCUUCGGGGGAAAGAUUUAUCGGCAAGGGAUCGGCCCGCGUUGGAUUAGGUAGUUGGUGGGGUAAUGGCCUACCAAGCCGACGAUCCAUAGCUGGUUUCAGAGGAUGAUCAGCCACACUGGGACUGAGACACGGCCCAGACUCCUACGGGAGGCAGCAGUGGGGAAUCUUAGACAAUGGGCGCAAGCCUGAUCUAGCCAUGCCGCGUGAGUGACGAAGGCCCUAGGGUCGUAAAGCUCUUUCGCCUGUGAAGAUAAUGACGGUAGCAGGUAAAGAAACCCCGGCUAACUCCGUGCCAGCAGCCGCGGUAAUACGGAGGGGGUUAGCGUUGUUCGGAAUUACUGGGCGUAAAGCGCGCGUAGGCGGACCAUCAAGUUGGGGGUGAAAUCCCGGGGCUCAACCCCGGAACUGCCUCCAAAACUGGCGGUCUGGAGUUCGAGAGAGGUGAGUGGAAUUCCGAGUGUAUAGGUGAAAUUCGUAGAUAUUCGGAGGAACACCAGUGGCGAAGGCGGCUCACUGGCUCGAGACUGACGCUGAUGUGCGAAAGUGUGGGGAGCAAACAGGAUUAGAUACCCUGUUAGUCCACACCGUAAACGAUGAAUGCCAGUCGUCGGCAAGCAUGCUUGUCGGUGACACACCUAACGGAUUAAGCAUUCCGCCUGGGGAGUACGGCCGCAAGGGUUACAACUCAAAUGAAUUGACCGAA